GCAAACGUAAGGGCGAGUGCCAUCGUGCCUGUAAGGCCGAUCCCGUGUAAAGGCAACGGCAGAGCCUCUGACUAUCUACCACAGCGAUCACACGGCAAUAACGUGCAAGUCGUCCGUGAAAGUUUUUUAUCAACGGACGAACCCAUCUGGACUUACAACACGAGCAAACGGGCCAAUGUUUGGUGUGAGGUGGGCCUGAAGCUGAAUAUCACCGAUAAUUCUAUUUUUUUCAAACGAGCCUCCUACGACCGAAAGGGAAUGACAUCAGCCAUGCUAGAGGGAAAAUUUACCUCGAGCAGGAAGAAGCACAUGGAUAUUGAUAGUCCAGGU